GGAGAGGUGCGAGAGUGGACGAAUCGGGCGGUCUCGAAAACCGCUGUCGCCUUGUGUGACCGUGGGUUCGAAUCCCACCCUCUCCGCCA
rnacentral:tRNA from 1 species